CUUGCACCUGGUGGCGAGUGGCGAACGGGUGAGUAAUACAUCGGAACAUGUCCUGUAGUGGGGGAUAGCCCGGCGAAAGCCGGAUUAAUACCGCAUACGAUCUACGGAUGAAAGCGGGGGACCUUCGGGCCUCGCGCUAUAGGGUUGGCCGAUGGCUGAUUAGCUAGUUGGUGGGGUAAAGGCCUACCAAGGCGACGAUCAGUAGCUGGUCUGAGAGGACGACCAGCCACACUGGGACUGAGACACGGCCCAGACUCCUACGGGAGGCAGCAGUGGGGAAUUUUGGACAAUGGGCGAAAGCCUGAUCCAGCAAUGCCGCGUGUGUGAAGAAGGCCUUCGGGUUGUAAAGCACUUUUGUCCGGAAAGAAAUCCUUGGUUCUAAUAUAGCCGGGGGAUGACGGUACCGGAAGAAUAAGCACCGGCUAACUACGUGCCAGCAGCCGCGGUAAUACGUAGGGUGCGAGCGUUAAUCGGAAUUACUGGGCGUAAAGCGUGCGCAGGCGGUUUGCUAAGACCGAUGUGAAAUCCCCGGGCUCAACCUGGGAACUGCAUUGGUGACUGGCAGGCUAGAGUAUGGCAGAGGGGGGUAGAAUUCCACGUGUAGCAGUGAAAUGCGUAGAGAUGUGGAGGAAUACCGAUGGCGAAGGCAGCCCCCUGGGCCAAUACUGACGCUCAUGCACG
rnacentral:rRNA from 1 species